ACACUUUUACAUUGGAAUGAAACAAAAUACGACUCAAUAUUGGAACCUAUUAUCGGCAGCGAUUGUGAAUAUUAUGAAAUUUGCAACAAAGUAGAAAACUACCCCGUGGAACUUGUAACUUCAAUAUUUGAAGAGCUAAAAACGAAGAACUUCACAAAGUUUACGGCUGAAAAUUUGGAAGUGGAAAAUGUUGAUUACGAAAAAUUAUGCUCAUUCAAAGACGAGGUUUAUUAUCCGCAAGCAGCAAAAGACUUGAGAGGAAAAUGGCAUUUCAUACUGAACGGACAUUCGCAGGCAUUCCAAGGAUUUGUAGUAGAGAGAUGCAAAAAAAACUGUCCCGCUGGGCCAUUCCGUACAGACUAUACACUCAAGUGCGUCCAAAUGCAUGUAUACCGAAGAAUGGUUUACUUAGAUAUAGAAAAAAGAAGUUUAGCGGUUAAUAAAUUUAAAAUACCAAGUUGUUGUUCCUGUACAUUAAUUAACUAAAAUAAUUAUACGCCGAAGAAAAAUACGAAAAUAGAUUUACGCUGAGAAUAGAUAUACCGAGCCUAUUGCAGAGCCUCAGAAAGACUUAAAACCUCUUUUUUGCGAAACUACUUUAAUCGUUAUUAA